GCGGGUUGCGCACUUGUGGUGGCCUCUACUACUUUGCAAAGUCACUGUCAUGGGUUUCACCCUACCACAGACACAAGGUUAGUUUGUUACCGCGCAAUAGGUCUCCAAGUAUUGUCUACACUAGGACCUCCUACUACUCUCACCACAUGAAUCAAUCCUCUCUAUUUGAGAAUGAAAGAUCAUUUGAGUGUUAGGAUAACCCCUAAUACUGAGCUCCCUGAUUCAUUCUAAUAACACUUAACCAUACCGAA
rnacentral:lncRNA from 1 species